AGAGAGAUGAAGGAGAAAGGGUUGAGAGGAAUGAAGGAGGUGAGUAAGGGUUUGGGGUUUUCCUUUUUUAGUUUUGAGAAUGAAAAUUAUUAAAAUAAGACAAGUGUUUCUGAUUUUUUUCAAUUGAAGCUAGAGUAGGGAUGACAGAGAAAAGAAAAGGUUGGAGUGAAAGAGAUGAAAGAGAAAUGGUUGAGAAGAAUGAGAGAGAUGGGUAAGGGUUUGGGGGUUUCUUUUUUUAAUUUUUUAAUUUUGAGAAUGAAAAUUAUUAAAAUACCCUUAACCUUAAAACUUAGAAUUCAUGAUAUAUAGAGAUAUUUUUGUCUACUGAAACCCGGUACACAUUGCUAAAAUGUACCAACUGAAAAACAGACAUACGCAAGUUAGCAAACCCCAUAUAUAUAUAUAUAUAUAUAUAUACACACACACGACACUUAACAUCCAAAAAUUG
rnacentral:lncRNA from 1 species